CCUACGGGAGGCAGCAGUGAGGAAUAUUGCGCAAUGGGGGAGACUCUGAACCAGCAAAGCCGCGUGAGUGAGGAAGUCUCUCGGUAUGUAAAGCUCUAUCAGCGGGGAAGAAGGAAGACGGUACCCGACUAAGAAGCCCCGGCUAACUACGUGACAGCAGCCGCGGUAAUACGUAGGGGGCGAGCGUUAUCCGGAUUUACUGGGUGUAAAGGGAGCGUAGACGGAGUAGCAAGUCUGAGGUGAAAGCCCGUGGCUCAACCGCGGAACCGCUGUGGAAACUGGGAGGCUGGAGUGCUGGAGAGGUAAGCGGAAUUCCUGGUGUAGCGGUGAAAUGCGUAGAUAUCAGGAGGAACACCGGUGGCGAAGGCGGCUCACUGGACAGUGACUGACGCUGAGGCUCGAAAGCGUGGGGAGCGAACAGGAUUAGAUACCCCAGUAGUC
rnacentral:rRNA from 1 species